UACGUAGGGGGCAAGCGUUGUCCGGAAUCAUUGGGCGUAAAGCGCGUGUAGGCGGCUUGGUAAGUCCGCUCUGAAAGCCCGGGGCUCAACCCCGGGAGGCGGGUGGAUACUGUCAAGCUCGAGUCCGGAAGAGGCGAGUGGAAUUCCCGGUGUAGCGGUGAAAUGCGCAGAUAUCGGGAGGAACACCAAUGGCGAAGGCAGCUCGCUGGGACGUGACUGACGCUGAGACGCGAAAGCGUGGGGAGCAA
rnacentral:rRNA from 1 species